rnacentral:tRNA from 1 species
CGGGCUGUAGCUCAGCUUGGUAGAGCACUUGACUGGGGGUUAAGGGGUCACAGGUUCAAAUCCUGCCAGCCCGACCG